CCCGACUAUGCCUGACUUUUGUGCAGCCUACGGAUGCUCUAAUCGCCGCAGUCUGGAAACAAGAACCCGUGGAAUCACCUUUCACGUGUUUCCCAAAACCGGAAAGAGGAGGAGGCAGUGGGAAGCUGCCCUAAGAAGGCAGGACACUGCUCUGCAGUGAGCACUUCAGUUGUGAGGACUUUGACAGGACGGGGCAGACUGUCCGGCUUAAAGAUGGUGUUGUGCCAACAGUAUUCAACUUCCCAGCUCAUCUUCAAAGGCCGGAAGCAACAAGAAGCACAACCACUUCAAGAAGAGCGGAAGAUGAACCUCAGCCUAAUGUUGUGAGUAUUCUGAAUGUGGCCAAGACCAGAGAGAUGGUCAUUGAUUUCAGGAGGGUGAGGACGUCUCCUCUACCCCUGUGCAUUCUGGGAGAGGAUGUGGCUGUUGUGGAGGACUACAAAUACCUGGGAGUGCACUUAGACAAUGGGCUGAACUGGAGGAUCAACACUGACG